UACGGGAGGCAGCAGUGGGGAAUAUUGGGCAAUGGGCGAAAGCCUGACCCAGCAACGCCGCGUGAAGGAAGAAGGUCUUCGGAUUGUAAACUUCUUUUAUGAGGGACGAAGGAUGUGACGGUACCUCAUGAAUAAGCCACGGCUAACUACGUGCCAGCAGCCGCGGUAAU
rnacentral:rRNA from 1 species